AACGAACGCUGGCGGCAGGCUUAACACAUGCAAGUCGAGCGAGACCUUCGGGUCUAGCGGCGGACGGGUGAGUAACGCGUGGGAACGUGCCCUUCUCUACGGAAUAGCCCCGGGAAACUGGGAGUAAUACCGUAUACGCCCUUUGGGGGAAAGAUUUAUCGGAGAAGGAUCGGCCCGCGUUGGAUUAGGUAGUUGGUGGGGUAAUGGCCCACCAAGCCGACGAUCCAUAGCUGGUUUGAGAGGAUGAUCAGCCACACUGGGACUGAGACACGGCCCAGACUCCUACGGGAGGCGGCAGUGGGGAAUCUUAGACAAUGGGGGCAACCCUGAUCUAGCCAUGCCGCGUGAGUGAUGAAGGCCUUAGGGUUGUAAAGCUCUUUCAGCUGGGAAGAUAAUGACGGUACCAGCAGAAGAAGCCCCGGCUAACUCCGUG
rnacentral:rRNA from 1 species